rnacentral:rRNA from 1 species
GAUGAACGCUGGCGGCGUGCCUAACACAUGCAAGUCGAACGGAAAGGCCCUGCUUUUGUGGGGUGCUCGAGUGGCGAACGGGUGAGUAACACGUGAGUAACCUGCCCCUGACUUUGGGAUAACUUCAGGAAACUGGGGCUAAUACCGGAUAGGAGCUCCUGCUGCAUGGUGGGGGUUGGAAAGUUUCGGCGGUUGGGGAUGGACUCGCGGCUUAUCAGCUUGUUGGUGGGGUAGUGGCUUACCAAGGCUUCGACGGGUAGCCGGCCUGAGAGGGUGACCGGGCACAUUGGGACUGAGAUACGGCCCAGACUCGUACGGGAGGCAGCAGUGGGGAAUCUUGCACAAUGGGGGGAAGCCUGAUGCAGCAACGCCGCGUGCGGGAUGAUGGCCUUCGGGUGGUAAACCGCUUUCGCCUGUGCCGAAGCGUGAGUGACGGUACUGGGUAAAGAAGCACCGGCUAACUACGUG